rnacentral:rRNA from 1 species
AUUGAACGCUGGCGGCAGGCCUAACACAUGCAAGUCGAGCGGCAGCGGGAAAGUAGCUUGCUACUUUUGCCGGCGAGCGGCGGACGGGUGAGUAAUGCCUGGGAAAUUGCCCAGUCGAGGGGGAUAACAGUUGGAAACGACUGCUAAUACCGCAUACGCCCUACGGGGGAAAGCAGGGGACCUUCGGGCCUUGCGCGAUUGGAUAUGCCCAGGAGGGAUUAGCUAGUUGGUGAGGUAAUGGCUCACCAAGGCGACGAUCCCUAGCUGGUCUGAGAGGAUGAUCAGCCACCCUGGAACUGAGACACGGUCCAGACUCCUACGGGAGGCAGCAGUGGGGAAUAUUGCACAAUGGGGGAAACCCUGAUGCAGCCAUGCCGCGUGUGCGAAGAAGGCCUUCGGGUUGUAAAGCACUUUCAGCGAGGAGGAAAGGUUGUUGGCUAAUAUCCAACAGCUGUGACGUAACUCGCAGAAGAAGCACCGGCUAACUCCGUGCCAGCAGCCGCCGUAAAAC